UGAUUAUGGCUCAGAAUGAACGUUGGCGGCGUGGAUUAGGCAUGCAAGUCGUACGUCCCGCAAGGGGCGUGGCGUAAGGGUGAGUAAUGCGACGGUAACCAACCCCAAGGCCGGGGAUAGCCGCGGGAAACUGCGGGUAAUAUCCGGCGAGGUUCAUGGGGGACAUCCCCUGUGAAUCAAAGGUGCGAUUCCGCCUUGGGACGGGCCGUCGUGGUAUCAGGUAGUUGGUGGGGUAACGGCCCACCAAGCCGAAGACGCCUACCGGGCGUGCGAGCGUGGCCCGGCACACUGGGACUGAGACACUGCCCAGACACCUACGGGUGGCUGCAGUCGAGAAUCUUCGGCAAUGGGCGAAAGCCUGACCGAGCGACGCCGCGUGGAGGAUGAAGGCCUUCGGGUUGUAAACUCCUGUCGAGGGGGACUAAGGUGCUAUGAAGAAUAGCGCUUGAGGUAUCCCUGGAGGAAGCACGGGCUAAGUUCGUGCCAGCAGCCGCGGUAAGACGAACCGUGCGAACGUUAUUCGGAAUCACUGGGCUUAAAGCGCGUGUAGGUGGCUUGGCACGUCUGUCGCUGAAAUCCCACGGCUCAACCGUGGAACUGGCGUGGAUACGACCAGGCUUGAGGGAUGUAGGGGGAUCGGGAACUUCCGGUGGAGCGGUGAAAUGCGUUGAGAUCGGAAGGAACGCCCGUGGCGAAAGCGCGGUCCUGGACAUUUCCUGACACUGAGACGCGAAAGCUAGGGGAGCAAACGGGAUUAGAUACCCCGGUAGUCCUAGCCGUAAACGAUGGGCACUGGGUAGGAGGCUCGCCGAUGGGCUUCCUGCCGUAGCGAAGCGUGAAGUGCCCCGCCUGGGGAGUAUGGUCGCAAGGCUGAAACUCAAAUGAAUUGACGG
rnacentral:rRNA from 1 species